ACUUCCCGUACAUUGUUGGCGUCCCGGAUGUUUGGCAAAUUCGAUUGUGUUCAGGGAAAACACCAAUCUCGCUUUAGAAUCAGAAUUAAUAAUUCAAGCAAUAUUAUUUCAGCCGGGCCAACUUGGUUCUCAUCUAAAGGGUUUGAGGCCACUAUAAUAUUUUAUCGUGUCCACCCGCUUCUUAAAGCCUUGACGACUUUUUGCUUAUUGGGCGUGCGGUUUUCGUUUCUAAGGAAAUUAUGUGAUCACGCCGGAAGGUUGAGGGGUAAUCGUUUGUCGUUUACAAUCAGAGACCUUGGGCGUCAGGAUUUAAUUUAUUUUGGUAAUUUAAGAAUUAUCUUGUCAGAUUUCACAUUGACAUGAUGGGAGACGUUAAUCGGCGACAGGACCGCGUGAACCGUGAGCUUAAAAAUAUGGUUUCGGCCAACGUUUUUUAUUGUAAGUUUUGGAUACCCCUAUGCUGCGGU